rnacentral:tRNA from 1 species
AGCCCCUUAGUAUAGUGGUCAAGUAUACGGGCCUUUGGCGCCCGGGACCCAGGUUCGAAUCCUGGAGGGGCUA